AGCUUACCUCGGUGGCUCCGUUGCCGGAGCUUCUGUUGGAGUCAUCACUGGAGUCAAAAGCUUCGAA
rnacentral:sRNA from 1 species